GGUAUCUUGAUGUGUAGAAAUUCCAGGAUUUUGGGACACCGAGUGCUCCCCCAAUUGCACGAGAUGGGGAGGUGGAUGGCAUUUUCGAUGCAAUUGCUGACAUGAACAGAGGCUUUGAGAAGACAGAGAUCUCAUCAGUGGCGGAUAUACUAGCUCAAGAUGUUCAUGAGCUUCCUACGAGAUCAAAUGUUCAGGCGGAUGGUGUUCAGAUGCCGUACAUCGUGAACAAUUUAUUAGCUCAGAUACCCAGCUCUUCACAACUAAUGUCCAAACUGCAUGGCGAUCAUUUGUUGCAUAUGAGAGAACAUGGGCUCUCUCAGAGCUCAGGCGAUUCUGGUCGUCCGAUGCGUUUGCUUGAUGCGUUUUCGGGCGUUGGAUCGAGCGGUGGGCGGAGCUGGGCCGUCGGAUGGGACUCGUUCCCCUGGAGCAAUGAAUAGUUACCCCGCGGGAAAAGAUCUCGUGCCACCGCGUGUGAAUUCGGUGCCCCACCGAGGGCAUUUUCGUCUUUCAACAUACCCGAGGCCAUAUGGCUUCCUCUGAUUCGUGGCUUCAUCCCCAAUCCGGUGACAAGCUAGGGUUCCGUUUUGUCCUCUCUCCCCCGCAUCUCUCGUGCAGCCGCCGCUCUCGCUCCUCUCCAUCACUCCGGCCCGAGCCACCGCUGCUCCUCUGCGCCUCCCUCCUCCUCCACGCGUGAUAGUACCGGCCGUUCCUUGUGCUAGCCCCACGCGGCCACGACGGGCGGCGGAGCCAUCAGGAACGGCGACGGUGGGCUGAUGCUCUGCAGGUCGCCAUGUGCGCGGAGGUGACGGCAGGAGGGCGUCGGCCUUUUCCAACUCGAGGAGGAGGAGGAGGGUGGUAUGGAUCCCUCCUCCCCUGUCGUCAUCACGAGAGGAGAGGGAGAACGGCCGGCUAUGGCGGCGGUCAGAUCCAUGCUGGGAACAGGAGACUGAUGCCAACGCCAUGGAGCUACUCUGUUGUUCGUCAAGGCAGCCUCCCAAAGCAACUGAAGGUCGCUUGCUCCUCAUCAACAACAUACAAAGCUUGGGCUGACCGAGGACUACGGCUAUGGCCGCUUCUCUGACCACACGACCGAGGAGGGCGGCGUGUGCUCCAGCGAAUCCAGCCUGUUCCGAAGGGUGAGGGACAUGUUACACCUGUACGGUAAUGGCGUCGAGGACAAGAUCACGUCGUUGUUCAGCCGGAGGGGCAGCGGGCUUGCCCGGGGACAGUCCAAGGAGAACCUUCGGGUCGAGGUGCGAGCCGCGGCCGGGGAAAGCUGACGUGGUCAGGAUCAGGUGGACUGCAGCUCUCAUCGGUAUCUUGAUGUGCAGAAAUUCCAGGAUUUUGGGACACCGAGUGCUCCCCCAAUUGCACGAGAUGGGGAGGUGGAUGGCAUUUUCGAUGCAAUUGCUGACAUGAAUAGAGGCUUUGAGAAGACAGAGAUCUCAUCAGUGGCGGAUAUACUGGCUCAAGAUGUUCAUGAGCUUCCUACGAGAAAAAAUGCAAUUCAGAUCAAAUGUUCAGGCGGAUGGUGUUCAGAUGCCGUACAUCGUGAACAAUUUAUUAGCUCAGAUACCCAACUCUUCACAACUAAUGUCCAAACUGCAUGGCGAUCAUUUGUUGCAUAUGAGAGAACAUGGGCUCUCUCAGAGCUCAGGCGAUUCUGGUCGUCCGAUGCGUUUGCUUGUUGCGUUUUCGGGCGUUGGAUCGAGCGGUGGGCGGAGCUGGGCCGUCGGAUGGGACUCGUUCCCCUGGAGCAAUGAAUAGUUACCCCGCGGGAAAAGAUCUCGUGCCACCGCGUGUGAAUUCGGUGCCCCACCGAGGGCAUUUUCGUCUUUCAACAUACCCGAGGCCAUAUGGCUUCCUCUCAUUCGUGGUUUCAUCCCCAAUCCGGUGACAAGCUAGGGUUCCGUUUUGUCGUCUCUCCCCCGCAUCUCUCGUGCAGCCGCCGCUCUCGCUCCUCUCCAUCACUCCGGCCCGAGCCGCCGCUGCUCCUCUGCGCCUCCCUCCUCCUCCAUGCGUGAUAGUACCGGCCGUUCCUUGUGCUAGCCCCACGCGGCCACGACGGGCGGCGGAGCCAUCAGGAACGGUGACGGUGGGCUGAUGCUCUGCAGGUCGCCAUGUGCGCGGAGGUGACGACAGGAGGGCGUCGGCCUUUUCCAACUCGAGGAGGAGGAGGAGGGUGGUAUGGAUCUCUCCUCCCCUGUCGUCAUCACGAGAGGAGAGGGAGAACGGCCGGCUAUGGCGGCGGUCAGAUCCACGCUGGGAACAGGAGACUGAUGCCAACGCCAUGGAGCUACUCUGCUGUUCGUCAAGGCAGCCUCCCAAAGCAACUGAAGGUCGCUUGCUCCUCAUCAACAACAUACAAAGCUUGGGCUGACCUAGGACUACGGCUACGGCCGCUUCUCUGACCACACGACCGAGGAGGGCGGCGUGUGCUCCAGCGAAUCCAGCCUGUUCCGAAGGGUGAGGGACAUGUUACACCUCUACGGUAAUGGUGUCGAGGACAAGGUCACGUCGUUGUUCAGCCGGAGGGGCAGCGGGCUUGCCCGGGGACAGUCCAAGGAGAACCUUCGGGUCGAGGUGCGAGCCGCGGCCGGGGAAAGCUGACGUGGUCAGGAUCAGGUGGACUGCAGCUCUCAUCGGUAUCUUGAUGUGCAGAAAUUCCAGGAUUUUGGGACACCGAGUGCUCCCCCAAUUGCACGAGAUGGGGAGGUGGAUGGCAUUUUCGAUGCAAUUGCUGACAUGAACAGAGGCUUUGAGAAGACAGAGAUCUCAUCAGUGGCGGAUAUACUGGCUCAAGAUGUUCAUGAGCUUCCUACGAGAUCAAAUGUUCAGGCGGAUGGUGUUCAGAUGCCGUACAUCGUGAACAAUUUAUUAGCUCAGAUACCCAGCUUCACAACUAAUAAGAAAGAUACGUGUUGUACCGCAAAGACCAAAGCUUCGCGCAACAUCAUCCUUUAGAAAUCUCUACAUGCAAGCUGGUCGCGAAUAUGUCAAACAGAUUUCUAAAAUUCUGAAGAGCCAGGUUACUAUUCUGUCAUCCACAUCAUCUACAUAUUUUCCUGAAGGUUAAGAGGAUGCAAAUGUUUUUAUGGCUUAUACCUGGCAGAGUUCAUUUCUGUAUUUAGUAACACAAUAUCAUACUCGAGGGACCUGACUAUAUUGCCUACUGCAUGCAUCAUUACUGGGAAGCAAAAAACUUGGAUUGUGCGGCUCUGUUUGUUCCUGAGGUGAUUAGCCUGUUGUUUUCAGCUAUGGAAUUGCAGCAGCGAGCUAACUCUUCCCUGCAUUUUUUGGGUCAAGUCUUAGCCAACACCUAUGGGAAGAGGCCUAUUUUACAGUCUCACAAUCCAAGUGUAAGAGUGGAAACGAUCUCCUUCAUGCCCCUGUCAUGUCUACUUCUUUAUCAACUCCAACUUCCGUUAUGUGCUCUAGCAUACACAGCCUGCAGGUAUCCCCUUUCUUCUAUGUUGCUCUGUGCCUGCUAUGCUUAAGUGCUUACUAUGUGAUCCUCGACGACGGAUGCCAUUGGCAGCAUAGUCAUUUGUUUAUUUCAUUUCAAGCCUCUGUUGACUACAGUGUAACCAUGCAUUAGCAAUUACUCCCUCAGUUCCUAAAUAUUUGUCUUUCUAGAGGUUUUCAACAAAUGACUACAUACGAGCAAAAUGAAUGAAUCUACGCUCUAAAAUAUGUCUAUAUACAUCCGUAUGUGGUAGUCCAUUUGAAAUCUGUAAAAAGACAAAUAUUUAGGAACGGAGGGAGUAGAAGCUACCUCGUUCAAUUGCAUGCAUCCUUUGGUUCUUACUGUUUGGUAUCCAUCAACCAUUGUUCAUAUUCACGCUUCAUGCACAAUCAUUGGGUUGGUACUGGGAAUACCUCAUUUAUGUUGGUGUCGCUGAUCUUAUGCAUGUUCUUCAAAGCUUCUUCUUUUUAUUGCCUAUAUGUUUAUUUGUACUAAUUCAGUAAGUUUAAUUUAUCUGUUUGCAUAAUAUGUCCUACAUAUUGAUAGAGUAGUAUUUCGUUACUUGAUUAAUGGUCAAACAUACUAUUUCCGUAUCUUUACAAUAGGUGCCUCAAAUGAAAAUGUCUUAGUCUUCUACACUGAAUCUACCAUAUGCAGUUUAGUUAUUUUAUAAGAAUUCAUCACCAAAACUACUUUGUUGGGUCAGAAUUUCAUAGACGUUCCUCAAUCCUCAUCAUGAGAUUAACUUGUAGAAGAAUCUAUUCAUAACCUUAUGAUGUGUGUGAUGUUGGGUUAUGUUGAAAGGCUUUUUUUUUGCCUUGCUUCCAUUUUCUUCCAUGUGCAUUGACUAAACAUAUGUUUGAAAAUGUGGCAUGGUCAAACAUUUUUUUGCCUUGCUUCCAUCUUCUUCCAUGCUGAUCAAUAGCGCUUUUUCUUGGGCCUUGCUUUGAGAGGGCCGCUGGUCGAGGCCAUUUCGGUCAUUUUUCCGUCUGAUACAUAGGUCAAACCUAGAAGGAUUUACACUCUCUCGUCGACGUUUUCUUUUCUUGUUGCACCGGUGUGGCAUCGCCUUUGGACAAGCCCUUUGUCUCGAUUCUCCCUUUGCAGCUCAGCUCCACCGACCAGAUGAUGAUGGCUGACAAAGAGCUCGAUGUCCAUGGCUCGCCGGGUUCCGCUGGCUGCACUAACAGCUGUGUGCGGGGGCUUGCACAGGAUACCCAACAAGUGUUUAGGAUUCCACACAGGGCAGUUCUUGACAUGCUCCUAGCACACCUUGGCCUAUCACCGGCUCAGUAUGAACAUGUUGUUCAUGAGGACGACAAGAUCCAUGUGACCGUCUUUUUCAACACCUCUACGUUGGGUCCUGGAGGACCAAUCAGUAUGAAAGUGUCAUGUCGUCAUUCCUACUAGUCUAUUUUAUGCCUAAGACAUGCAAAGUUGUGGAUCGUCUGUAAGCUACCAUGUGCUAUCGUAUCUCCUAUGCCUAUGAUAUUUUCUAGUAAACCUAUCGUGCAACGUGCUUUCUAUGUCCGUACAUUGUUAGGUGGCUUCUUAUUGUGUGCAUACAAAUGAACCUUAUUUCUGAAUGAUUCUUCAUUAGUUUUUUUAUUUUUAUCAUGGUUGACAUAAGAAUGA